ACUCCUGCCUCAGGCCUCAGCCACCACAGUAAGUGGAACUCUAUACCUCCACCUCGCCUGGCUGGGUGGAGCCUCUAAACUCAGGAUUCUGCCUUGAGCUGUGGCUCUCCCCUCAGGUUGACAGGGUCCAGAGCAAAACCUACGGAAGAAGCUGCAGAGGCCAGGUGGAGGGAAGGAUGCUGAACUGGAGGAGGCCAGGAAAUUAUGAGGUACACCAAUCAAACAUAGUGUGUCCAGAAUUUGUGGGUUCUUGGUCUCACUGACUUCAAGAACGAAGCUGCGGACCCUCACGGUGAUUCUAAGCACAUUAAAAUCUGGAUGACACUUAUCUGAAUCAUUUCGCAACUUGGAGAGAGAUGGAGAAGACACGCAUGGUGUAACUGGGCAUCACCAGAAUGUGCACUGCCAUCUGUGGCUGUCUUCCUGCUGGCAAAUCCUUUUCAUUCCAAGCAAAUAAGAUUCCCUAAAUUAGACAAAAAGGAAGAAACACAACAGAGUCCAUAAUUCUGAGAGGAAGAGAAGAGUGAUCAUCAGCAGCAAAAGGCAAUUGCAGAGAAGCACCACCAAGAGCCAGCUUCAUGCUCAGGAGUGAAUGCUGAGCCGCCUCCUCGUGGUUUCCGGUGCUCCACAUGUUCAGAGAAACUUCUCUGAUGGAGUCUUCCUCUGCUGACCAGGAUGGAGUGCAUGCAGUGGCACAAUCUCGGCUCACGGUAACCUCUGCCUCCUGGGUUCAAGCAAUUCUCCUGCCUCAGCCUCCCGAGUAGCUGGGAUUACAGGCAUAUGCCACCACACCAGGCUAAUUUUUGUAUUUUUAGUAGAGACGGGGUUUCACCAUGUUGAUCAGGCUGGUUUUUAACUCCUGACCUCAAGUGGUCUACCCUCCUCUGCCUCCCAAAGUGCUGGGAUUACAGACAUGAACCACUGCACCCAGCUGGUUAAUUUAUUAUUAAAGAAAGAAAAUUGUAAAAGGUAAAUUUAAUGUGGCCAAAGUGUCCAGUGCUUAUAAAAUCUACAGUAGUAUAAUGUCCUAGGCCUUCAUAUUCACUUACCACCCACUCACUCAUCCAGAGCAACUUCCAGUCCUGCCAAGCUUCAUUCCUGUUAGGUGUCCUAUAUAGGGGUACCAAUUUUUACUUUUAUUUUUUAUUUAUUUUUUUUGAGACGGAGUCUUGUUCUGUCCCCAGGCUGGAGUGCAGUGGUGUGAUAUUGACUCACUGCAACCUCCAACUCCCAGGUUCACGCGAUGCUCCUGCCUCAGCCUCCCGAGUAGCUGGGACUACAGGCACACACCACCACACCCAGCUAAUUUUUUUUGUAUUUUUACUAGAGACGGGGUUUCACCAUGCUGGCCAGGCUGGUCUCGAUCUCCUGACCUUGUGAUCCGCCUGCCUCGGCCUCCCAAAGUGCCGGGAUUACAGGCAUGAGCCACCACGCCCAGCCAAUUUUUAUCUUUUAUAUCAUAUUUUUACCAUACUUUGUCUAUGUUUAGUGAACAAAUACCGUUGUGUUACCGUUGCCUACAGUAUUGAGUGCAGUGGCGUGCUGCACAUGUCUGCAGCCUGGGAGCAAUGGGCUGUAGCACAGAGCCUGGGUGUGUAGAAGGCUGCACCUUCUGGGUUUGUGUAAGUGCACUCUGUGGUAUUCGCAUAAUGAUGAAAUUGCUUAAUGACACUCUUCUCAGAACGUAUCCCUGUCGUUCAGUGAUGCAUGAGAGUAUUUUAAAGGUAGAUUAAUCAUGAGAUGAACAGUGGUGGAAUUUGAUAAAUAGGUAGAAAUUGGCUUCAAGGAGAAUUUUAGUGGUGAUUCCAAGCCUACAUUUAAUCAUUUUAUUAACUUGGAUAAAGACAUCAAUGGCACAUUGAUGAAUGUGCCAUAUGGCAUUUAGUAAAAAGGGAUGGCUCCACUCAAGAGGACAUUAUCGUGAGCCAAAGGGACUCCGAGAGGCUGAAAUGAUUUCCCUAGAUAUAACUAAAUACAGUUUAGCAGAAACGAAUAACCAAUUUCUAUAUUUGGAAAUGCCAUCGUGCCUUCCCCCACCCCAAUCACCUUCAAUACCAAAUUGUAUAGGACACACCUGGUAACUGCACGUAGCCUCCUCUCCCCCUCCUUUGUUGGGACAAUGGGGCUGAUAGAAGAAAACUGGAUUUUUUUUUCCAGUUUUGUUUUCCAGCAACCCCUCAGGACUCUGGUAUUUUUGUUAAUUAUUUGGGAUUUAGGAAUUAAGAGUGAGACCUGACUGAGUCAUGAAAAGGAUGGAGUCUAUAUUCCAAUUUAGAAAGUGGUUUCUGAGACCAUCCCCUGGGGUGGUCAGCAUACCCCAGAGAGGUGAUCAGUUCUGGACAGAGCAUCUUGAGCAGGAAAGCAAUAAUAAACCGGGGUGUGUUUUGAGGAUGGCACCAUGCUUGAGACGGUGUCAUGUGAAGCAGACUGGAAGGAACUGUGGAUGCUGAAUGUGGGGAAGAGAAGACUCUAGAAGCACACCGUCACUGCCUUCAGGUGUUGGAAAGGCCGGCACCAGGGAGAAGGCUGAGACUUGUUCUGUGGGGCAUUAAUGGAAGGAUGCUCAACUGGAUCUUAUACUGAAAGCAAAUAUGAGAUCAAGUCUGCCAGGGUAGGUGUGGAGAAAGUGGCCCUGUAAGCCAAGGGGCUAUUGAGUUCAAUCCUGGAUGUCAUUCCAGCUGGUGGGGUGCGGUGGAAACACCAGGGAAGGGCAGGGGUAGGGGGGGACCAGCCAUGCAGGGGAGAAGGCAAGUCCUCAGACCCCUGUUCUGUGUGGCACUGUGCGGAAGAGGGGAAGGCUGCCUCACUUCACCCUGUGUGCCAGUCCUUUAUCUAACUAAAUCUCCACAGAAAAUCCACAAGAUGGGGUUGAAUGACCUUUUGUUAUCCAGAAAAGAAACAGCCUGAGGAGUAAAGUCACCUGACUGAGGUCACUCUGCUAGAAGGUGGGGCAGGGAUUCAGCCCCCGGUGCUGUCCCUGACUCUCUUUCUGCGUGGAGGGAUUCAGGCUCAGCCUCCAGGAACCGGAGACCAGAGCUCCCUAUCUGGGACCCAGCCACUGAGACGUCAGGUCACAAAGAUGGAUAGAACCAGAGGCACUGGGGAGCCGGAGAGCUUUGGAAAUGGGCAUCUUUAUGUCCUUCUGCCUCAGUCUAGAGCUGAGAUUUGUGAAAGGGCCAAAUCAGGGGUAGGAAGAGGGUGCAGUGUAUCCUCCGAGGUGGGAGGAGGCCGGGCCAUUUGACCAUAUCUUUCUCUUCAGAGUUCACUGUUCCCAAAGACACAUUAUAUGUCAUCCAUUUUUAUAUAAAUGGUGAGUUCCCAAAUGGGAUUUAAAGACAGCCUAGCAAAUCUUUACAUCCCUUGGAACUUAAAACAAAGCUUUUCCUUCACAGAAUUCUAAUCUCUCUUGAAUAAGAGGCUACGAAACUGAGGGACAUUAUAAUAACCUUCAUUUAAAAUUAGAUUCUGGAUGUUCUGGUGACUUAGCUGAAAACAGCUCAAAUCAGCGAAAACCUUUACAAAGACUUUUCGAAAGUUGGAAGACAUAUCUGUACACACAGGGCGUAGAGCCGGACUUGGCCAGUAUGUGCCUUCUGCCUCCUCCUGGCAAUGCUUACCCCUUAUUACUGUUAUUUCUGAGACGUGAAUGUUUUCUCAUAGUGAAUGUAGCAGUAAUAGUAAUAAUAAUAAUAAUAAUAAUAAUAAUAAUAAUAAUGAUAAAGAACAGCAACAUUUCUCACAAACCCAUUUCCUGAGUAUUAGCAGAUUUGCUACUGGGCCUUGGUUCCCCUUAGAUCUUGGCUUAAAUGAAUGCUUAAUAAUGAUAACAGAGGCUGGGUGCCAUGUCUUAUGUUGGUAAUCCCAGCACUUUGGAUCACUUGAGGCCAGGAGUUCGAGACCAUCCUGGCCAACAUGGCGAAACCCUGUCUCUACUAACAAUGCAAAAAUUAGCCAGGUGUAGUGGCACAAAUUAGCCGGGUGUAGUGGCACAAAUUAGCCAGGUGUAGUGGCACACCCCUGUAAUUCCAGCUACUUGGGAGGUUGGGGCAUGAGAAUGGCUUGAACCUGGGAGGCGGAGGUUGCAGUGAGCCAAGAUCACAGCACUGCGUUCCAGCCUGGGCAAUAGAGGCACUCUGUCACAAAAGACAAAAAAAAAAAAAAAAAAAAAAAAAAAAAAGGGAUUCAAUUUUAAUUAAAAAAAAUAUAAAAAUAUAAUGGUAACAGCUAAAGAUUCUUGGGGUUAUUACCAUGUAUUAGAUGUAUGCUUAGCAUUUGAAACACAAUGUCUUAUUAAUGUUUGUGAGAGAAGAGAGACAGACCCUCUCAUAUUGUUUUAUAUUGUUCUAUAAUCAGAAAAGGAAAGAGAAGCGAAACUAAAGGCAGGUAGCCCAGUGCCUAGGAACCAGACCCGAAACCAGGCCUGGGCCCGCCUGACCUAAGCCUGGUAGUUAAAAUUCGACCCCUGACCUAGCAACUGAUGUUAUCUAUAGACUCCAGACAUUGUAUAGAAAGACACUGUGAAACUUCCUGGUCUGUUCUGUCUCAGUCUGACCACCGGUGCAUGCAGCCCCUGUCACAUACCCCCUGCUUGCUCAAUAGAUCACGACCCUCUCACACGGAACCCCCUUAGAGUUGUGAGCCCUUAAAAGGGACAGGAAUUGCUCACUCGGGUAGCUUGGCUCUUGAGACAGGAGUCUUGCCGAUGCUCCCGGCUGAAUAAACCUCUUCCUUCUUUAACUUGGUGUCUGAGUUUUGUCUGCAAUUCGUCCUGCUACAUCUGCAGCACCUUGCUAUGGCUGGUACAAUUUUGGACCCAUUCUGAUUGUCGCUCACUGUAGUGAAGUAACUUGCCCAGAAUCACAUGAGCUAGGAAGUGCCAGUGCAUAAAACCAGGAAAUUUGCCCCCAAAACUCAUGCUCUUAACCAUCACUCUACCAGUUAAGACAUUAUCCAGAUGCCUGGAGACCAGGGGAGGCCUCAGCUGGGAGCUACUUCUAGAAAGUUAAGAACUGCCUGGGGCUCUGCAGAACUCUCCCUGCAUUUGCAGAUUAUACUUAAUACCUAACUCAGUUGUAGCCGCCAGCAACCCCCACCCCUCAACUUGCAGAUAAUCCACUUUAACUGAAGAUGUGUCCCCCUGCGAAUUGGUAAUUACUCCUUGUGGCACUGUCAGAGCUAUUCAAAGGAUAAGAGACAAGGAAGAACAAAGCUAAUCUGAGCCAGGCACUGAAGCUGCAGUCGUCUCUUAGACACCUAAAGGGAGUGACUUCCAUGGCUCAGAUGUGGUGUAGAGGGCUGUUGAUUUUCAUUUUACUUUUAACAAAAGAUGAGGGGCUCUAUCUGAAAUGUUUGCUUGGGGGAUCUUAAUUUUCAGCUCUGACAAUGCUCGCUGUGUGCUUAUUUUCUCAGCUGGGCACAUUCUCUAGUCCUAUCAUUACCGUGACUCUUUUAACUGUCUGUACAUGUUGAGGGGACUUCCAUCUACACUUCAGGAGGUGCAAAUUACAGUGGCUGUGGCACCUCGAAGAAAAUACAUUUUCUCGGUAUGAGCAGUCAUUUUCUCUUGGUGACAUGUUGCGUACUUUGUUUCAGAACAGAUGAGAGCUUAAAAUAUUUUAUGGGGCGAUCGCAUUAAUCUCGCCUCUAAAAUAUGUUAUCAUGACUCUUAGGCAUCUUGGGGGAAAUGAAUCUGCCUAGAAAAUAUGGUUUUCUGGAUAACAAGAGAUCUAGUUCUUUUGGCAUGAGCCCAUUUCAGUAUUUCCAGCUGAAUAUCUGUCUAGAAUGCUUUUUUAAGGCAAAGCAGACGCCAAAUCAGGGUCAUGUGAUGACUUUCACAGGCCCUAGGCACUUUUGCUUUCAAGGUUUUCUUCCUCCAUUAAAAAAAAAUCAAAAGUAAUAUUUUAGGACUGUGUUGGUAUAAAGAUGAAUAUAAUGAUAUUAUGUAUUAACAUAUUAUAUAUUAGAACAUUUUUCCUUUGACUUAACAGUUCAUUUUUUUCUUCUGAUUUUAAAUGUUAUUAGAACACUUUUGUGGGUCCCUGGAAGUACUGUGGGCCUACUGAACCCCAUGGAUAUGUUGGCCCCUGCCAAACAUAUGUGAUGGUUUUUCUUUUCUUUUAUUUUUUUUUUGAGACAGAGUCUUGUUCUGUCACCAGGCUGGAGUGCAGUGGCUUCAUCUUGGCUCACUGCAAUCUCUGCUUCCCAGGUUCAAUCGAUUCUCCUGCCUCAGCCUCCUGAGUAGCUGGGACUACAGGCAUGCACCACCGCGCCCAGCUAAUUUUUGUAUUUUUAGUAGAGACAGGGCUUCACCAUGUUGGCCAGAGUGGUCUCAAUCUCUUCACCUCGUGAUCCGCCUUCCUGGGCCUCCCAAAGUGUUGGGACUACAGGCGUGAGCCACCGCGCACAGCUGUGAUGGUUUUUCUUAAUGGCUUGAAGCUUGGCUGGGAAUAUUGUUUUGCCAUGCUAUGGAGACAGCUGGAAGUAGCCCUGGAUUUGCAUUUUUGAAGAAGGGCCUGAAGUUGCCUUUUUUUUUUGGGGUCAUUUUCCUCUGUCUUAGACAGGUGGUGAAAACUCUGCUACUGACUCUACAGCAUGGUUGCCUUUCU
rnacentral:lncRNA from 1 species